AUUGAACGCUGGCGGCAGGCCUAACACAUGCAAGUCGAACGAGGGGCGGACGGGUGAGUACUGUUUGGGGACCUGUUCGUAAGCUGGGGAUCACUACUGGAAACGACAGCUAAUACCGCACUCUAUCCGCUGUCCCCAUAUGGGAAUAGCUAGUUGGUGAGGUAAUUGCUUACCAAGGCGAGGAUCCCUUGCUCGACGGAGAGGAUGAUCAGCCACACUGGGACUGAUACACGGCCCAGACUCCUACGGGAGGCAGCAGUAGGGAAUAUUGCCCAAUGGGCGCAAGCCUGAUGCAGCCAUGCCGCGUGUAUGAAGAAGGCCUUAGGUUUGUAAAGUUCUUUCAGCGGGGAGGCGUUACCCACAGAAGAAGCAACGGCUAACUCCGUGCCAGCCGCCGCGGUAAUUC
rnacentral:rRNA from 1 species